CCUACGGGUGGCAGCAGUGGGGAAUAUUGCGCAAUGGGCGAAAGCCUGACGCAGCGACGCCGCGUGAGGGAUGAAGGUCUUCGGAUCGUAAACCUCUGUCAGCAGGGAAGAACGGUCACUGUGCUAAUCAGCAGUGAAUUGACGGUACCUGCAAAGGAAGCACCGGCUAACUCCGUGCCAGCAGCCGCGGUAAUACGGAGGGUGCGAGCGUUAAUCGGAAUUACUGGGCGUAAAGCGCUCGUAGGCGGUAUGUUAAGUCAAGGGUGAAAUCCCCGCGCUCAACGUGGGAACUGCAUUUGAAACUGGCAGACUGGAGUGUGUGAGAGGAUAGUGGAAUUCCAGGUGUAGGAGUGAAAUCCGUAGAUAUCUGGAGGAACAUCAGUGGCGAAGGCGACUAUCUGGCACAUAACUGACGCUGAGGAGCGAAAGCGUGGGUAGCAAACAGGAUUAGAUACCCUAGUAGUC
rnacentral:rRNA from 1 species